CAGUCGCCGCGGGAAUACGUAGGGUGCAAGCGUUAAUCGGAAUUACUGGGCGUAAAGCGUGCGCAGGCGGUUUGUUAAGACAGAUGUGAAAUCCCCGGGCUCAACCUGGGAACUGCAUUUGUGACUGGCAAGCUAGAGUAUGGCAGAGGGGGGUGGAAUUCCACGUGUAGCAGUGAAAUGCGUAGAGAUGUGGAGGAACACCGAUGGCGAAGGCAGCCCCCUGGGCCAAUACUGACGCUCAUGCACGAAAGCGUGGGGAGCAAACAGGAUUAGAUACCCCAGUAGUCCCUGUCUCUUAUAC
rnacentral:rRNA from 1 species